rnacentral:rRNA from 1 species
UACGUAGGGGGCAAGCGUUGUCCGGAAUCAUUGGGCUUAAAGGGCGCGUAGGCGGGCCCUCCAGUCAGGGGUGAAAUCCCACGGCUCAACCGUGGAAGUGCCUUUGAUACUGCGGGCCUCGAGGGAGGUAGGGGCGUGCGGAACUUCCGGUGGAGCGGUGAAAUGCGUAGAUAUCGGAAGGAACACCAGUGGCGAAAGCGGCGCGCUGGAUCUCUACUGACGCUGAGGCGCGAAAGCCAGGGGAGCAAACGGG